rnacentral:rRNA from 1 species
GGCAUGCAAGUCGAACGAGACUUCAUUUAGUAGCAAUACCGAGUGAAGUUUAGUGGCGAACGGGUGCGUAACACGUGGGGAAUCUGCCGAGAAGUGGGGGAUAGCUCGUCGAAAGGCGAAUUAAUACCGCAUAUGAUCAGGAAAGACAUCUUUCCAACAUCAAAGCCGGGGCAACCUGGCGCUUCUUGAUGACCCCGCGGCCUAUCAGCUAGUUGGUGAGGUAACGGCCCACCAAGGCUACGACGGGUAGCUGGUCUGAGAGGACGACCAGUCACACUGGAACUGAGACACGGUCCAGACACCUACGGGUGGCAGCAGUCGAGAAUUUUUCUCAAUGGGGGCAACCCUGAAGGAGCGACGCCGCGUGGAGGAUGAAGGCUUUCGGGUUGUAAACUCCUGUCAUUUGAGAACAAGUGCCAACAAGUAACUACUGUUGGCUUGAUAGUAUCAGAAGAGGAAGGGACGGCUAACUCUGUGCCAGCAGCCGCGGUAAUACAGAGGUCCCAAGCGUUGUUCGGAUUCAUUGGGCGUAAAGGGUGCGUAGGUGGCGUGGUAAGUCGGGUGUGAAAUUUCGGAGCUUAACUCCGAAACUGCAUUCGAUACUGCCGUGCUUGAGGACUGGAGAGGAGACUGGAAUUUACGGUGUAGCAGUGAAAUGCGUAGAGAUCGUAAGGAAGACCAGUGGCGAAGGCGGGUCUCUGGACAGUUCCUGACACU